AAAAAUCAUGGCAAAAGGAAAUUUGUCCUGACCCUGGCGCUGCAGUCCACCGUCCACGCUUCCAAAGCACAUGCAUCAGGGCCUCCAUUGCCUUGUAAAAGUCUGCCUUCCAAUUUCCAAACCCUAAUAUGCAGAGUCAAUGUACCUGGACCCAACCCAGAAUGCCUACACCACUCUGCUUUAAAUCCUCUACUUUAUUAACCUUUUCAAUUUCAAAGCAUUUGCACACCAAAUCCUUUGAUUCCCUUGCCUCUCGAAAGGGAAUCUCCUAUUACCCUUUCCUCAUGGCCACCUUAUCGACUCCUUCCACCACCGAGAAAGAUGCCGUUUCCUUUCAGAGCGAGUCGACCCAGAAGACCCAGCAGCCAUUACAGGUGGCAAAACGCUUGGAGAGGUUCAAAACUACAAUCUUCACGCAAAUGAGUUCACUUGCAAUCAAACAUGGGGCAAUAAAUCUUGGUCAAGGGUUUCCUAACUUUGAUGGUCCAGAGUUUGUUAAAGAAGCAGCUAUUCAGGCCAUAAGGGAUGGAAAAAAUCAAUAUGCUCGUGGUUAUGGGGUUCCAGAGUUCAACUCUGCAAUUGCUGGCCGGUUCAAGAAAGAUACUGGGCUUGUGGUGGACCCUGAAAAAGAAGUUACCGUUACCUCUGGGUGCACAGAAGCCAUUGCUGCAACUAUGCUAGGCUUGAUAAAUCCUGGUGAUGAAGUGAUCCUAUUUGCUCCUUUCUAUGAUUCUUAUGAAGCCACACUGUCUAUGGCCGGUGCCAAAAUAAAAUGCAUUACUUUGCGACCGCCAGAUUUUGCUGUUCCCAUCAAUGAGCUUACGUCCGCCAUAUCAAAGAAUACUCGUGCAAUUCUUAUCAACACACCACAUAACCCCACUGGGAAGAUGUUUACUAGGGAUGAACUCAACACUAUUGCAUCACUUUGUAUUGAGAAUGAUGUUCUGGUCUUUACAGAUGAAGUUUAUGAUAAAUUGGCCUUUGAAAUGGAUCACAUAUCUAUGGCCUCUCUUCCUGGAAUGUAUGAGCGGACAGUAACUAUGAAUUCCUUAGGGAAGACAUUCUCCUUAACAGGGUGGAAGAUUGGCUGGGCAAUUGCUCCUCCACACCUGACAUGGGGAGUGCGGCAGGCACACGCCUUCCUAACUUUUGCUACCUCCACUCCAAUGCAAUGGGCGGCUUCAGUGGCCCUUAGAGCCCCAGAUUCUUACUAUGUAGAGCUAAAAAGGGACUAUAUGGCAAAGAAGGCAAUUUUAGUGGAGGGAUUGAAGGCUGUUGGUUUCAAAGUAUUCCCAUCAAGUGGGACUUACUUUGUUGUUGUUGAUCACACCCCUUUCGGCCUAGAAAAUGAUAUUGCAUUUUGUGAGUAUUUGAUCAAGGAAGUUGGAGUGGUAGCAAUCCCAACCAGUGUAUUUUAUUUGAACCCAGAAGAUGGUAAGAAUUUGGUGAGAUUCACCUUCUGCAAAGAUGAGGAAACUCUGAGGACUGCAGUUGAGAGGAUGAAAGAGAAGCUGAAGAGAAAUUGAUCCUGUUUAUGUGGGUCUAGUUCUCCAAACUCAGACAUAUCAUGGGGUGAAAUAUUGGUGUUUGUAAUGUUAAUCAUUCCCUUAUGAAGGUAAGUAGUAUCGUUCUGUGAUAACUUGGAGGCUAUAAACUAGUGAAUUUACAGCAUUUGUUGGAAUAAACAGAUUAACCAUGCUUUUGAAAAAGACAUGUCUUGGUCAAUACCUCCUAGUUUACGAAAAUCAGUUAAUUUGACCUUUGGUAAUUGUUUCUGAUGUAGCGUUCAAAUAUUUUGGCUAGUUCUGAGUUGGCAUAUGUAAAGGAUUCUAUGCUGCUUGCAUGUAUGGUCAGAAAAAUUCAUUGGUGUUCCUUUUGAUCAGUAUCAUUUUGUCCUUUUU
rnacentral:misc_RNA from 1 species